rnacentral:tRNA from 1 species
CGCGGGGUAGAGCAGUCUGGUAGCUCGUCAGGCUCAUAAUCUGGAGGUCGUCGGUUCGAAUCCGGCCCCCGCAACCA